rnacentral:rRNA from 1 species
UACAGAGGUCCCAAGCGUUGUUCGGAUUUACUGGGCGUAAAGGGUGCGUAGGCGGUGGGGUAAGUUUGAGGUGAAAGCUCCGGGCUCAACCCGGAAACUGCCUUGAAAACUAUCCGGCUAGAGGGUUGGAGGGGAGACUGGAAUUCUCGGUGUAGCAGUGAAAUGCGUAGAUCUCGAGAGGAACACCAGUGGCGAAAGCGGUUGCCUGGAGCUUUGCUGACGCUGAUGCGCGAAAGCGUGGGGAGCGAUCCGG